AAUUUUGGACAAUGGGCGCAAGCCUGAUCCAGCCAUGCCGCGUGAGUGAAGAAGGCCUUCGGGUUGUAAAGCUCUUUCGGACGGAAAGAAAUCGCGCAGGCUAAUACCCUGCGCGGAUGACGGUACCGUCAUAAGAAGCACCGGCUAACUACGUGCCAACAGCCGCGGUAAUACGUAGGGCGCGAGCGUUAAUCGGAAUUACUGGGCGUAAACGGUGCGCAGGCGGUUGAUUAAACCAGGCUUGAAAUCCCCGGGCUUAACCUGGGAACUGCGCUUGGAACUGGUCGGCUGGAGUACGGAAGAGGGGGGUGGAAUUCCACGUGUAGCGGUGAAAUGCGUGGAGAUGUGGGGAAACACCAUUGGCGAAGGAGGCCCCUGGGCCGAUACUGACGCUCAUGCACGAAAGCGUGGGUAGCAAACAGG
rnacentral:rRNA from 1 species